AUGUCCAGCGACGACGACCUCCCUGACCUCCUGGUCCAGGAAUCCACCGCCGCGAUCGUCUCCGGCGCCGACCCCUCCAGCCCCACCGCCCGAUCGGCCCACUUCCUCCUCCCCCGCGCGGGGGCUGCUCCCAUCCCCGCUCUGCCAUCCCCGCCACGCAAUGCCGACCCUGUUCCUCUUGCCGACGAGCUCCCGGUGGAGUGGACGGACUGGCCCGGCUGCUCCAAGCUGUGGAGGCGGUGGGUGGCCAAGCUUCGCCCCCGGCACGAGCGCCUCUGGCGGAAAAUUGGGAUCUUGGACGGAGUCCUCGCGACCACCGGCUGGGUGCGGCGCGACGAGGACCUGCUGCUCCAGCUCGCGGGUUUCUGGUCCGCCGAGACCAACACGUUCGUCUUCCCGUGGGGUGAGGCCACGGUGACGCUGGAGGACAUGGCCGUGCUGGGGGGCCUGCCCCUGCUGGGCAGGCCAGUGUGGUUGCGGCUCCCGGACGAGCUCCGCGGGGACGUGGACGCGCUCCAAGCCGUCCGGAUCGCGCUCAACUGGAGCAAGAGCAAGAAAGUCAACUAUACCUUGUGGGUUAAGCAAUUCAUCGAGGAGACCGGUGCCGGUGCUGGUGCCGCUGGCGACGGCAGAGGAGAGGCCGAGGCGGACACAUUGCUCGAGCACGGGGCGUUUCUGGCCAUGUGGUUGACCAGAUACGUGCUUCCGGUGGAGUCAUUCGACGUGGUCAGAGCGGACGUGCUCCCCCUCGCCGCCGGACUGGCGCGCGGCAGGUGCUCGGCCCUCGCACCUGCCGUACUUGCCAACAUCUACAAUGACCUCUCCGCACUCAGUCACCACUUAAGCUUGGGCGCCAGCCAUCAGCCGUUCGUGGCGAGUGCGCCACUGCACAUCCUCCAGCUAUGGGUCUGGGAGCGCUUCCCGGAGCUUUGCUCUGCCAUCAACUCCCACGAUGGUGAUCCCGGCAUGCCGAGGGCUGCCAAGUGGUACAGUAUCAGAAGGAUGCUUGAUCCUGGGCACAUCCAUGCAGUGUUCAUGUCCCCGGAUGAGUUCAAAUGGAGGCCUUACGGAGGUAGUAGCUUUGCUCUGCCACAAGCCAAAGGUGGCUGCUGGGUGCACUGCCAUGAAUUAGCAACAAGCAAGGAAUUGCAAUCCUUUGCGCAAUGUCUGCGACCUUGCGAACUUGUUGGCAUGCAAUGCUUCGAGCAGUACUGUCCGCACCGCGUCGCAAGGCAGCUCGGCUUCGAUCAGGACGUACCUGGGACUGUCGCCCGUGCCAACUCGAGUCGAAAGACGGCGUGGGCGACAUACAAGAUGCAGCCUGAACAUGUUUCGUUCUUCGUUCCGCAACGCGAUCCGGGCGUGACAGUUGAAUACGCACAAUGGUGGAAGCAAUACUCGUCGGCAUGUGCUGUUGCUGUUGCUAAUGCUGCAAAGAUGAAACAACUUAAUGUUGUAGUUAUUAGCCCAAGAAAGAUGAAAGCUGAAGGUCUCAGUCUCAGUGGUGUAGAUUGUGGCAAAAAGCGUCACUUGGAGGCUGGGAUGACUCUGCAAGAUGAUACAGAGGAUGAGAUUCCGCUGGAAGAGAGGCUGAAUAGUGUCAUUCUAAAGACGGAAACGCUGGAUACAGAGACGCAUAUUUUGAAAGAUGACACGACAAAGAAAAAUUCAGAAACCGUGAAGGAUUUGGUGCCAAGAUGGGCAGGAAAAGGCAGACGUAGGGCAAUUUCACGCAAAGUUGCUGAGAAAGCUUUAUCUGAUGCAGAGGCAGUUUUGGUGAGUGAAGUUGAUAAACCAUCGUGUGGGCCGGUCACCAAGAAUGAGAAUCUUGAAGAGCAAGCAUCAGUCGAGGGUGCAGCGAGACCUAGAAGCAACAAAGGCAUUAGAGCUGCAAUUGGAGUGGACAUGUAUUCAAAUCUUCCAGACAUCUUGGCGAUCAGUGGUAACGAGUUGGAUGAAAUAUUCAGAAAGGAUAGCGAGGCGAGUGCAAUUUAUAUGGAAUUGUCCAAGUUAACGAUGGCAACAUCCAACUCAGAUCGGCCAAAUGAAGAACGACAUCUGGUCACCAUAAGAAGAGAUGAGCAGGACUGCAGUGAGUCGAAGGAUACCACGGUGAAAGAAGAUUGUGAUUAUCAGCUUCCUACUGUCCAAAGUGAUAGCACCAUCAGACAAGGACCAGUUAAAACACGCAAUGUAAUGGCAGAGGGAGAUCAGAGAGCGAAGGUGGACAGAGAAAACUCAACUCUUCUCGAAGGAGACAAUGAUGCAUCUUAUAACGGUCUAGUACAUGGAAAUAAUGAACUGGUCAAGAGAGUAAUUUCUACUAAAACACUCUACUAUCUUAGACCAUUCAAGCGGGUGAAAGAUGCUCAGGUCAGAGAUUCAAGAGCCGCCAAUGCAGGUCAAGUAAUUUUCCAACCAGGACGGGAAGUCGGAACAACGGAAAUGAUUAGAGAGGCGUCUGAAGCUCGAGAAGCAGAAAAGGUUGAGUUGGAAACAAGAAUUGAUCAUCUUAAGAAACAAGUCGUGGCGUUAGAGGUGCAGUUGCGGGACAGGAGAACCUAG
rnacentral:rRNA from 1 species